GGGGCGGUGGCGAAAUGGCAGACGCAGCGGACUUAAAAUCCGCCGGAGUAAAACUCCGUGUGGGUUCGACUCCCACCCGCCCUA
rnacentral:tRNA from 1 species